GGUGCGUUGGGGAAGAGGUCAUCCCGCUUCAUUUGGGUUGAAGAGUCAUCGGUUCAAACCCGGUACGUGCCC